rnacentral:rRNA from 1 species
GACGAAGGGGGCUAGCGUUGUUCGGAAUUACUGGGCGUAAAGCGCGUGUAGGUGGUUGUCGUAGUCAGGUGUGAAAGCCUUGAGCUCAACUCAAGAAAUGCACUUGAUACUGGGCAGCUAGAGGACCGGAGAGGAUAGUGGAAUUCCCAGUGUAGUGGUGAAAUACGUAGAGAUUGGGAAGAACACCAGUGGCGAAGGCGGCUAUCUGGACGGUUUCUGACACUAAGACUCGAAAGCGUGGGGAGCAAACAGG